UACUCAGAUAUCAAUGUUUGUGAUACCGUUUUGCGUUGUUGUUGGUUGGUUUAUGGGAAAGCCCAUGGACUUGAAUUUUCAAUUAUUCGAGACCGCUACACUCUUCAUCACAGUGCUAGUCGUGGCAUUCAUGUUGCAGGAAGGCACAUCAAACUAUUUUAAAGGGUUGAUGCUGAUCCUAUGCUAUCUGAUUGUUGCUGCAAGUUUUUUUGUACACGUUGAUCCAUCCAAUGAUGCAGAGUAAGCAGCCAUGGUUUUACCCAUGCCUCGGCCAAAUGAGCACCUCGACUCCUGGCAAUGUAAUGAACAUCAUUGAGGCUGGCCAGCUGCUCUACCCAAAUGAUGAUUGGAUUGGAGGAAUGAAGGGACUUGCUUGUUACAACGAUAUGUUCAGAGUAGUUCGGUAUUGACUUCUUGAAUGUUUAUCCAUGUUGUAUCAUUUUUCUCUAGCAGACAAACAAUUCCAAUUAUUCCCAGCAAUGCAAGAAAGCUGGUUUUAGUCUUCCACUUGGAGAAAAAAAAAAUAGAAGGGGUGAAGGUAUAAAUCUCAUAUAAUUAUUCUUUUCUUUCUUUCUUCAAAUUGUUGUUCCAAAUGUUAGUGUUACGAGAUGUAACAAUUGUAAAAAAGAAAAAAUCUAUAGAAAUCCAAGAUGUCUCUGCUUGA
rnacentral:misc_RNA from 1 species